rnacentral:pre_miRNA from 1 species
CUUGUACUCCCUCCGUCUGAAAAUACUUGUCAUCAAAAUGGAUAAAAGGAGAUGUAUCUAGACGUAUUUUAAUUUUAGAUACAUUUCUUUUUGUCCAUUUUAAUGAUAAGUAUUUUCAGACGGAGGGAGUAUUUC